UUUGAUAGAACUGCCCAUCUGGUAAAGAUGUAAUUCAAUUUGCAUAUGAUUUGCAUACAUCAUGUGCUGUGAUGACUGAUGUGUAAUUGCUGGUUUGACAGAGUUGUAUAACUGUAUAGAUAGAUAGAUAGAUAGAUAGAUAGAUCAAACAUCAAACCUAUUAUGUAACUAGUCUAAAAUUAUUACACUAAUAUAAAUUAUAUAAUAAUAUCAUUAACAUAAGUGAAGUGUGAAGUCUCUUUUUACUGCUUUGUACUAAUAGGAGGAAAAUGGCUCCGUAGCUCCACAUUAGGAUGUGAUGGAGGAUACAGGGGUCACUCCGCAGAAGCUCCCUAUAGAUCCAUCAGUCCUGGACUCAUCGAUCAGCAGACGAUGGGAUGAGCUGAUCAGAGCUCGGGCCUUCAACACCAGCGCAAUCUGCAUGAGAUGACAAAACACACACAAUCUUCCUAAAGCAAGCUUCCAGAAAAUAUCCUCCCUGCUAUGCGUAAUCCGUGUUUCCAUAGCUAGCCUGUGCAUUUAUUUCUGUCCUGUCCUUUUUGAUUUGAGCGUGGAUUUACGAUCAAAGAGAUAAAUGACAAGCAAACGUGUAGUGUAAAAUUCAGAGCCUUUGCAGACUCUUGGAUGUGAUUUUGGAAAGAGAUGAGAGGAAAAGCAGUCUGUGUGUGUGGCAGCCGGUCCCAGAACAGUGUCCGUAAUCUCCGGUGAAUGUUCAGCUGUGUGUGCAUUUCUACUUUGUCUUUAGAAAAAAAACAUUUGAUAGGAUAACAAUGCAGUUUUCCUCUGAAACCUCCAAAGUACACAGCACCAAUCCUAUGGAUAGUUUUGGAUAUAUAAUAAGCGUUUUGUGUUCUCAAUCUGUCACAAAUCUAAUUUCUCUUUCAGCUAUUUUUUUUUUCCACAUCUCUUGACUGUUCCUUUCCCUCUUUUAUUCAAUUUAACUCAAAGCUGUAUUUAGAUUAAACAGGACAGGAGUGUCUGCUAAAUGUAGAUUGAGCCAUGGAUAUCAUGAACAAAAUACUAACUGAGAAUACAGGUACAUCCAUUAAAGGAAG
ensembl:lncRNA